CAUUGACUCUUUUUUCCUGACGAGCAACUUCUAGAGCACCAUUUAGCAUCUCAAAAACAGCAGGACCUUCAACGUUUUUGUGCAUCACCAUAGCUAAACCAUGCAAUGCUCUAAGCAAGAGAGGCUUCUGCUUCAAAAUCUCCUUAAACAACCUCUUAGCCUUACUUAACUGCCCCAUCAUCUCAUAACAAAGAGCCUCCAAAAGCCUCCACUCCAUUUCUCUAGGCUGAACCUUAAUCAGCUUCUCCACAUACUUCAAAGCCUCUUUAGUCUUCCCUUUUCUCAUCUUCACAUUAACAAUAGUCUUCAAAGCAUCAACAUCUCUCGGAUUCUUCUCCAACAACUUCAUACACAUCACUUCUUCCUCACUAUCUCCUUCUUGG
rnacentral:misc_RNA from 1 species